UGUAGCUCAGAGGCAGAGCAUGGGCUUAGAAGGCACAAGGCCCUGGGCUCAAUUCCCAGCA
rnacentral:tRNA from 1 species